UUUAUUUAUUUAUUUAUUUAUUUAUUUAACAUAUUUUUAUACCGCUCAAAACUUACGUAUCUGCGCGGUUUACAACAGAUAAAAACAUUAAAACAUGGUUAAAAACAAAACAAGAAAUUUAAAACACAACAAUUUAAAAUUUUUUGAAACAAUGCUCUAAAACAACAUUAAAAAUCAUUUAUAACAGUAUCAGUUAAAAGCCUGGGUGAACAGAUGUGUCUUUAAAUACUUUUUAAAGGCUGUCAGAGAUGGGGAGGCUCUUAUUUAUUCUUAUUUGAAUCCAAGGUGAGCAAUGGCACUCACACAUAUUAAAGUGCAAGUCUUAUACUUAUUCCCUUUAAAAAAUAUGACUCAUUUUGAGGCAGGUCCAGCCCCCUUCAGCAGAGUAAAAUAGGAUUUACACUCUGCUCAUGCUGCUACUCUGUUCCCUGGUGGUCCUUACCACACUUCCCCCCAGCCAAACAAUUAUUUUGAAGAGACAAUAGCAAAUGUCAGAGGGCUCCUUUUGACAAAAGAGUAUCAAAAGAGGCCACACAAUUAGGGAUGUGCCCGAAUGGGCUCGGGCACACCACGGGCAGAGUGGGGAGUGGUCCCCUUAAGAAGCAGGUAAAGAGGUCCUGCUCCGCUGCUGCCCCACCACUCUUCCGGGUAUGGUGCUUGCUCUACCAAAGGCCACAUGAGUGUGGUGCUAUUCCCUGCCCUGCUGAACUGGUUUGGCUGCGGGCACCUGAGCCAGGCUGGUGCUUCCCUAAGGAGGCGCCGAACCGGUCUGUGUACAUCCCUACCCACAAUGCCAAUCCUUAAUUGUAUAUGAUGUGUACAACAUCAACUCAUUCUAAGGGAAUGGACCACGAGCAUGUUAGAAAACACUGGCUUUGUAAGGAAACAUUGGCAAUGUUAGAAAACAUUGGCAAUAUUUAUUUAUUUAUUUGAUUGUUUGAUUGAUUGAUAUACCACCCCUCCAAAAUGGCUCAGGGCAGUUUACAACAAAUAAAAACAAUUGAAAUCAAUUUAAGAGUUAAAAUCAAAACUAAAUCAGUUAAACAAUUAAAAUCAUUUAAACUUUAAAAACAGUAACACUAAAAUCAGCAUUAAAAAUUAAGUAGAAAACAUUUAAUAGAAAAUUUAGUGGAAAAUAGAAAACAUUUGAAUUGUGCUGGUGAACAACUCACAUAUAUAAAGUAGCAAGUCAUGGAAACUGGAUCUAUGCAUAGAACAUAUCCUUCAAACGAUGCUCUGUGUUUCAGUCUCUGAACAGUUUGUGGUUCUGAAGUAUGGUGACAGAUAUAUUGACACAUGUAGUAUCAUUAUUUAUAUUUCUGUUGAUGAAGAGUUUACAAUAAGUGUUUGAUGUGAGAAAUUGGGUUCAUUUACAUAUAAUCAAUUUACGCUUAAUAUAUGCAGCAGUUUCAGAAAUAAUAUUGGCAAAUGCAAAAGAAAAAGAUUGAGAAACCCUAGUGGUGUUGUGGCUUUCAUUUACGUUUAGGAAUGCUCUGUAUUAUUAUACUUUCUGCUGUUGCUCUCUGUAUUUAACAUGGAUCUUUUGUCUAGCAGUUUUCAGUCUACAAAGGAAUUUACACCUCAUGCUUCUUCACAAUAAACUUAUGAGGUGAAUUGAGAGUAAAGAGAGAGACAGGCAGGGAGCUAAUUUCUUGAGACCAUGAGGUGACCCUCAUAGCCAAGCUGGCCUUGUAUCCACAGUCAGGAUCUGUGAAAAAGAUAUAGUACAUUUUGAAUUUUGGUGGCUCUCAGCACUGAAGAGAGAAGUUUCUGAGAAGUAGCUUACUUCUGUGGACAUUCUGAAGGAGAGUGAACAGUUCCUGAACGCAAAAAAGUCUCUUCCAUAAGCUUAAAGACUUUCCCCACAAGGACGGUCUGUUGUUCAUAGUUUAACCUUCUGCUACCAAAAGUCUCCCCCAAAUAAAAGGACACAUAAGAGUAUGUAUGGAAUGAAUUGCUAAAAAACCUUAUAGAGACAAACUAAGUUGUUUUGAGGUAAGCAAGUUGAACAUGAUACAUCUAUAUGCUGGAAACUAAUAAUGCCUGAGCGAUGAAUUUUUUGUCUCCUGCUUUAUUUACAAUAUGAACAUUACCCUCUUUUUUGCUUUCCAACUAAGACAUCCAAACACGUAUCAAUAGAUCUCUUUGUUAUUUUCACUAACAAAGUUCCUUCCCCCCACCCUUCUCAAGUAGUAGGUGUUGAGAAAUUUGAAUUGAAAUUUGAAGGCUCAUGGCUUCCAAACCAGCAGGAGCUGAGGUUUAAUUGCUUGGAAAUACAUUUUCACAGCUGAUACUGAAGAACUGAAAAAAGUCUGCAUGUCAAGAGGCUCUAAACUAAUCAUUUAACCAUAACAUACACCACCCCACACCUAGGGACAGAGUAACUGUUAACAGCUUGAAGCUGUUAAAAAUACACCAAUGGGGUGGUUUUCUCCUUCACUCCCCCACCAAUACAUUUCUUCAGUCUGAAUAAAUUAGUUUAAGGGAAAUGUCUCGUUUUCUGUUCUGCCAGUAUAAAUGACAAUGUUUGUUGGUAAUAUGUUUGUGCACCUAUGGUUCAGCUUCAGAAUGCCUUAUAUCCAGCUACUGUUCAUUACGGUGACAAUUCUAAAGUUGCACAACCGUUAAUCCAUUGCCUGCACAACCUAGGGGCUCUUUGUUAGAUCUAGUUACACACAAGAGACAGAGGUCUGAUUUCUAGCACUCAAGAGCUGGCCAAGAAUUGUAUUAACAAUUAGCCAUUAGUCACUAGAUCUCAAUCUGCCACAACAAAAGGUCAUUUUCUCUGUCCCUUGAGAAGAAGGAGAAUUACAUUCUGGAAGAAGAGAAACUGUUGAUCCUUUGGAAAUCAGAAAGCACAGAUCUGGAGCUUGGCUGUUGCCUUGUUAAAACAGAAUCACAUUAUUAGAAGGACCUGAAAGUCAUGAAGUCCAGCUCAUGCUCUCAUAAUGUUAAUCCUGAUCCUUUUAAAAAAUUCUCUCAGAUGUGAGAAUGCAAAUACGAGGAAUAUUUAUAUACCUCUUUUCAACAAUAGUUCCCAAAGCGGU